CCCUUAGAUGUCCGGGGCCGCACGCGCGCUACACUGAUACGUUCAACGAGUUUACAACCUUGAUCGAAGGGUCUGGGUAAUCUUUUGAAUGCGUAUCGUGCUAGGGAUAGACUAUUGCAAUUAUUAGUCUUGAACGAGGAAUUCCUAGUAAACGCAAGUCAUCAGCUUGCAUUGAUUACGUCCCUGCCCUUUGUACACACCGCCCGUCGCACCUACCGAUUGAAUGACUCGGUGAAAUAUCGGGACCGUUGUCUGGUUUGAUUCAUUUCGAACUAGAUAGUGGGAACUUUCUUUAACCUAUUUAUUUAGAGGAAGGUGAAGUCGUAACA
rnacentral:rRNA from 1 species